rnacentral:rRNA from 1 species
GAAUGAACGCUGGCGGCGUGCUUAACACAUGCAAGUCGAGCGAGAACGUUCCUUCGGGAAUUAGUACAGCGGCGGACGGGUGAGUAACGCGUGAGAAUCUACCUCUUAGUGAAGAAUACUCUUGGGAAACCGAGGUUAAUGCUGCAUAAGCCUCUUCGGAGGGAAAGGUGCCCUAUUUGGUGCCGCUAAGAGAUGAGCUUGCGUACUAUUAGCUAGUUGGUGGGGUAAGAGCCCACCAAGGCAAUGAUGGUUAGCCGGCCUGAGAGGGUGAUCGGCCACAUUGGAACUGAGAUACGGUCCAGACUCCUACGGGAGGCAGCAGUGAGGAAUUUUGCGCAAUGGGCGAAAGCCUGACGCAGCGACGCCGCGUGGGGGAUGAAGGUCUUUUGAUCGUAAACUCCUGUUAAGUGGGAAGAAAGGUCUGUCACUAAUAUGGACAGAAUAUGACGGUACCAUUAGAGAAAGCACCGGCUAACUUCGUGCCAGCAGCCGCGGUAAUACGAGGGGUGCAAGCGUUAUUCGGAAUUACUGGGCGUAUAGGGUGUGCAGGCGGGCAUACUAAGUCAAUCGUUUAAUUUCCCCGGCCUAACCGGGGGGGUCAGCGGUAGAAACUGGUAAGCUAGAGAGUGGGAGAGAGAAGUGGAAUUCUCGGAGUAGCGGUAAAAUGCGUAGAUCCUCGAGAGGAACACCGAUGGCGAAGGCAGCUUCUUGGCCCAUUUCUGACGCUCAUACACGAAAGCGUGGGGUAGCAAACAGGAUUAGAUACCCUGGUAGUCCACGCCGUAAACGAUGAUCACUAGAUGUUGGUUCUGCUUGCAGAAUUAGUAUCGUAGCUAACGCGUUAAGUGAUCCGCCUGGGGAGUACGGUCGCAAGAUUAAAACUCAAAGAAAUUGACGGGGGUCCGCACAAGCGGUGGAACAUGUGGUUUAAUUCGAUGCUACGCGAGGAACCUUACCUGGGUUUGACAUGCUUUUGACAACCACAGAAACGUGGCUUUCCAAGUUUACUUGGACAAUUGCACAGGUGCUGCAUGGCUGUCGUCAGCUCGUGUCGUGAGAUGUCUGGUUAAGUCCUUUAACGAGCGCAACUCUCGUCGUCAGUUGCUACUCUUCGGAGGCACUCUGGCGAGACUGCCUGGGUAACCAGGAGGAAGGUGGGAACGACGUCAAGUCAUCAUGGUCCUUAUACCCAGGGCUACACACGUGUUACAAUGGCCAGUACAAAGGGCUGCCAGCUCGUAAGAGUGAGCUAUCCCAAAAACUGGUCUAAGUUCGGAUUGAGGUCUGCAAUUCGACCUCAUGAAGUUGAAAUCGCUAGUAAUCGCGUAUCAGAACGACGCGGUGAAUACGUUCUCGGACCUUGCACACACCGCCCG